GUCGCUUCUCAGCCUUUCGGCUAAGAUCAAGUGUAGGGUCUGUUCUUCAUGGUGUAAUAGCUGAUGCGUCCUCUAGCCAAAGACAAUAUAUCACAUGGGUCUUUGGAAUUAGGUGAUGGAACAGGAGCCUACUGUACCCACUCCACUCAUUGGCCUGGUGUUGCAGGACCAUUACUUCAGUGUAGAGAAA